AAGGAAUUAAUUGUAGUUCUCUUUUAUAGCGGUUUAAAAUGUAUCUGAAAGUAUAUACGGGUGUUUGCAAUAAUUUAAUCACAGACGUAGAAAUAUAACCAAGAUUCACGACGACCAUUGUAUUGAUAGAGCAGUUGUUUAAAUAAAAGAGCAGCGUCAGUUUUGGAAAUGUCACAUUUUAUAUUUGUGUCAGUUUUUAGUUAAGUAAAUUGGAAAAUUACAAGCGGUGUGUAUUUCAGUAUGCUAACGUGACGUUUUUCAGCAGGUUUCAUUUGAUUGUAUGAAGCAGAAUUAGUUAACACUCAAAUCAACCCCUCGACAGCAGUUCUACUAAAUGUCCACACGAGGGCAGCAUUGGAUAGGAAAUGAAAGCUAAAGCCUCGUCUGUCUCCCUGAAGUUCGCUACCAAUUGUAAAGAGCAGAGGACAGCUCAGCCGGAGGCGUGUGUCUGUGUGAAACGACUUUAUUUCAUGUGAUAAGUUUGUGGAAGAAGGACGCCAUGUUAGGAGGCGUUUGCUAUUGUUUUACACAGACUACGAGGGACAGCGCUCAUUAAACCAGGUCUGUGAGGAUGAGAAGGUCUCCACAAUCUGGAGUCUGGUCUCUGACAGGCUCAACAUACCUGUCAAUCAACAAUUAACUCCUCUACAAAGGCAAGGCGCUGGCAGAUGUGAGCUACUCCCAGUUCUACUCUGUGUUCCCUGUGUCCCAGUCUCUGCUGGAGCCCGUGUUUCUGCAGGUUGAGCUCCAGCAGCCCCAUAGCCAGACUGACCGCCUCAUCCUGCAGGACUGCUGGGCCACACUGACCCCUGAACUGGACUCCAGCCCUCAAUGGGACCUGGUCACUGACCGCUGCCUGGUCACUGGAGACUCAUACAGGACCCACUUCCACACAGUGCCAGCCAGCACUCUCACCAGGAGCUCCCCCCAGCUCCAGAGGCUUGAGGUGCGGGCACAGCAGUCUAGCAAGGACUCUGCCUUCUGGAGACAGGUGUAUUUCCAUUGCAUGGCUGGUUUGUGAUCCCAACCUGGAGGAUACCUGCAAUAAGACUUGUGUGCCUGGAGCCCAGAGAUCUGCCCGUAGUGUGGAUCGAUACAGCCAGAUCAGAGGCUACGUUUCUGCCGGGCCAGUCCAAUUGGUACCAGAAGGACAAGUCCUGGACCUUCAAACAGCAGGUGACUCCCCCUUGGUUCCGGCGCUGGGCGUGGCGUCCGCUCUCCUCGGAGUUCUGCUCGUCAUUCUUGUUGCUGUCGGAUUCAGGAGAUGUUAAACUUGCUGUCUACCCCAAUAAAGAUUUUUGCAUCUCGA